UUCCAAAUACAGAGGUCGAUUAUUUCAUCUU
rnacentral:piRNA from 1 species